rnacentral:rRNA from 1 species
GACGAACGCUGGCGGCGUGCUUAACACAUGCAAGUCGAACGGAAAGGCCCUGCUUGCAGGGUACUCGAGUGGCGAACGGGUGAGUAACACGUGGGUGAUCUGCCCUGCACUUCGGGAUAAGCCUGGGAAACUGGGUCUAAUACCGGAUAGGAGCCAUCUUUAGUGUGAUGGUUGGAAAGUUUUUUCGGUGUAGGAUGGGCUCGCGGCCUAUCAGCUUGUUGGUGGGGUAAUGGCCUACCAAGGCGGCGACGGGUAGCCGGCCUGGGAGGGUGGACGGCCACAUUGGGACUGAGAUACGGCCCAGACUCCUACGGGAGGCAGCAGUGGGGAAUAUUGCACAAUGGGCGCAAGCCUGAUGCAGCGACGCCGCGUGGGGGAUGACGGCCUUCGGGUUGUAAACUCCUUUCGCGAGGGACGAAGCUUUUUGUGACGGUACCUAGAUAAGAAGCACCGGCUAACUACGUG